CUGGAAUUCACCAGCAGAUAGCAGGCCAGAAAAAUGUCCUUUGUAUUCUCCCAGACUUUUCUUUAAAAGGCUAUUGUAAAGUAUAGGAAAUAGUUAAGGAAAAAAAAAUUACCCCACAGUUCCACCAGCUAGUUGUAACCACUCUUAUUUCCUCCCAGUUUGUCUAAAAGCCUAUGGUUAAGCUGAUGCUGUAUAUGUAGUGUUCCGCCCUAACUUUAUAUUAUAACCAAAUCUUUUAUGCUCUUAAAAAGUUUGUAAACUUUGUUUUUAUCAGUAUGUAAAGCUCCAUCAUAUCAUCUACGUUGAUUUUUUUUUUUAAACAAGACUUUAUUUUACUUAUUUAUGUGGUGUUGAGGAUCGAACCUAGGGCCUUGCAUGUGUGAGGCGAGCACUAUACUACUGAGCUAUAACCCCAACCCAACAUCGAUUUUUUUAUGUAGACAUUUUAGUUGUUUUGAGGUUCUUUUAAAGAUAGGACAUAGACAAGAUAGUCAGAAAGGUGUUGUCAGAUUCGACUGAAAGCAGGAAUCAAGGGAGAGGGAAACGGCUGUCGGGUUGCUCGCCAGGCACAGUAGAUGGUUGGGAGGCAUUCGAGGCAUGCAGGGGCUUGAGCAAGCCUGUAAUCUUUUGGAUGUGUUGAAUGGUGAUGAAAGAAAUAAGGUAGUUGAAGGACAGAAGAUUUUUUUCAGAGGGGCUGAGAGCGUAGUAUGUUUAUGGUCAGAGGGGAAGACCCAACAGUGAGAAGGAAACAAGCAGCAAGUUGGGCCCUCUGAGCUAGCGAGGUCCCUCAGCAGGUCAGGGAAACAGGGUCAGGAGACCUUGGGAUGGCUCAUAUGCAGAAGUGGAAGUAAUAUCUCUUAUUUAGAGAGAUUAGUAAGAAAAGAAAGGCCUGGUGAAGAUAAUGAGAGAGAAAGGCAAAUCACUGAAUGUCAGGACUGGGGAAAGGGGAUGAAAUAUGUAUAUUACAUUUCCUAUAAUAAUGAGAACUUUUAUUUGAUAGUCUUACACUUUUUAAAAUUGCUUUCAUAAACCAGCAACAUGCAGAAGGGAUCAAGAUUCAAUUAGAAUGGGUGAUAUAGUUUAUAUUGAGAAGAAAAUGAGGUAGGAACAAGGCCUAGCCUCUAACAUUAGCUGGGAAAGGAAAGAUUUGCUUGACACACAUGGCUAGACCCAUCAUUCAGUGUCUACAGAAUCCUAACCCCUUAACCAUCCCUUAGACAGGUCAUAAUGAGGUCAGGCCUAUGCAUUCCUGAGAAAGGAAUUAUGGAAUGAUGGCAUUUAUCAGCCACCUAACUUCUGUGCAAUUUCCAGCCUGAACCCAUCAAGCUAGGCAUCUCUGCUGGCAUUUCAGCCUGCACAAUGUCUUCUGUAAACUAGAUCUCUUCUCCUUCCUCCAGGCUUCCCUUCUAAGGGGCUCAGAACACCUUGGGUGGGGUGCGGGGAUGAAGUAUUUGAAUCAACAUUUUAAAAAAAUAGCAAAGAU
rnacentral:lncRNA from 1 species